rnacentral:rRNA from 1 species
AGAACGAACGCUGGCGGCAGGCUUAACACAUGCAAGUCGAGCGCCGUAGCAAUACGGAGCGGCAGACGGGUGAGUAACGCGUGGGAACAUACCCCUCGGUUCGGAAUAACUCAGGGAAACUUGAGCUAAUACCGGAUACGUUCGCGAGAAGAAAGAUUCAUCGCCGAAGGAUUGGCCCGCGUCCGAUUAGCUAGUUGGUGUGGUAAUGGCGCACCAAGGCGGCGAUCGGUAGCUGGUCUGAGAGGAUGAUCAGCCACAUUGGGACUGAGACACGGCCCAAACUCCUACGGGAGGCAGCAGUGGGGAAUAUUGGACAAUGGGCGCAAGCCUGAUCCAGCAAUGCCGCGUGAGUGAUGAAGGCCUUCGGGUUGUAAAGCUCUUUCGCACGCGACGAUGAUGACGGUAGCGUGAGAAGAAGCCCCGGCUAACUUCGUGCCAGCAGCCGC